AGGAUGAACGCUGGCGGCGUGCCUAAAACAUGCAAGUCAUACGGGCUACCUUCGGGUAGCCAGUGGCAAACGGGUGAGUAACACGUGGGAACGCGCCUUGGGGUGGGGAAUAACGCUGAGAAAUCAGUGCUAAUACCGCAUAUGGUCUAACGACUAAAGCAGCAAUGCGCCCCGAGAGCGGCCCGCGACCGAUUAGCUAGUUGGUGGGGUAAUGGCCUACCAAGGCGGUGAUCGGUAGCUGGUCUGAGAGGAUGGUCAGCCACACUGGGACUGCGAACGGCCCAGACUCCUACGGGAGGCAGCAGUUAGGAAUUUUCGGCAAUGGACGAAAGUCUGACCGAGCGACGCCGCGUGGAGGAUGACGCCGUUUCGGGGUGUAAACUCCUUUUCUGCGGGAAGAUAAUGACGGUACCGCAGGAAUAAGCACCGGCUAACUACGUGCCAGCAGCCGC
rnacentral:rRNA from 1 species